GACCUAGUGGUGAAUGGUUCAUACCUGCUCUCCUUUAGUGCUCGUCUUUUGAGUGCACAGCAGGAGGCCCCGGUUCGACUCCGGGCUGGGUCA